rnacentral:rRNA from 1 species
GACGAGGGAUCCUAGCGUUGUUCGGAAUCAUUGGGCGUAAAGCGGGUGCAGGUGGCUUUGUAAGUCAGGUGUGAAAGCCCAGGGCUCAACCCUGGAAGUGCAUUUGAUACUGCGAAGCUUGAGUGCUGGAGAGGCUACUAGAAUACCUGGUGUAGUGGUGAAAUACGUAGAUAUCAGGUGGAAUACCGGAGGCGAAGGCGGGUAGCCAGCCAGACACUGACACUCAGACCCGAAAGCGUGGGGAUCAAACAGG